rnacentral:rRNA from 1 species
CAGCCGGUACUCGCGAAUGCUCUAGAUUAAAGUUUGAUCAUGGCUCAGANUGAACGCUGGCGGCAGGCUUAACACAUGCAAGUCGAGCGGGGAAGGUUGCUUCGGUAACUGACCUAGCGGCGGACGGGUGAGUAAUGCUUAGGAAUCUGCCAUUUAGCUGGGGGACAACAUUCCGAAAGGAAUGCUAAUACCGCAUACGUCCUACGGGAGAAAGCAGGGGAUCUUCGGACCUUGCGCUAAAUGAUGAGCCUAAGUCGGAUUAGCUAGUUGGUGGGGUAAAGGCCUACCAAGGCGACGAUCUGUAGCGGGUCUGAGAGGAUGAUCCGCCACACUGGGACUGAGACACGGCCCAGACUCCUACGGGAGGCAGCAGUGGGGAAUAUUGGACAUUGGGCGGAAGCCUGAUCCAGCCAUGCCGCGUGUGUGAAGAAGGCCUUAUGGUUGUAAAGCACUUUAAGCGAGGAGGAGGCUACCAGUAUUAAUACUACUGGAUAGUGGACGUUACUCGCAGAAUAAGCACCGGCUAACUCUGUGCCAGCAGCCGCGGUAAUACAAGAGGGUGCGAGCGUUNAAUCGGAUUUACUGGGCCGUAAAGCGUGCGUAGAGC